rnacentral:rRNA from 1 species
AACGAACGCUGGUGGCGUGCUUAACACAUGCAAGUCGAACGAGAAAGUUUCCUUCGGGAAAUUAGUAAAGUGGCGCAAGGGUGAGUAACACGUGAAUAAUCUGCCCUCGAGACUGGGAUAACCUGGUGAAAACUGGGCUAAUACCGGAUAAGACCACGUCCCGCAAGGGAUGCGGGAAAAGGAGGCUCAACCUCCACUUGUGGAUGAGUUCGCGGACCAUUAGCUUGUUGGUGAGAUAAAAGCUCACCAAGGCUACGAUGGUUAGCCGGCCUGAGAGGGUGAACGGCCACACUGGAACUGAGACACGGUCCAGACUCCUACGGGAGGCAGCAGUGGGGAAUAUUGCGCAAUGGGCGAAAGCCUGACGCAGCAACACCGCGUGAGCGAUG